UAUAAUGUAUGUGUAUGUGCUACAGCAACAAAUAGCCGCCUGCUUUUUUUCUGAAUUGCUCGGGCAGAAGAAAAGCUCCACGGUGUGCUGCAAAAAUUCUGAAAUUACUAGAUCUGUGUUAGUAUUUUGAAAUUACUAGAUCUUCUGGUAAAGGGGAGUUAAGCUCUACGACCACUUGGAUGUGGAAUUGUGGAUGCUCACGCUCCUACACUGGGCGAGCUCCCAUGGCACCACGGGGCUUGAGAUUGUCAUCUCUACCCUCGGCCACGAGGGCCAAGAGGCUACCUGCACCCUCCUAAAUGAAAUGACACUUCCAACCAGCAGCUGGCCUGAUGCCCGUACAUAGAUCGUCAGUACUUUUUCUGAUUUCCUGUAUGCCUGUACAUGAAAAAGUCUCAACAAUUAUGUUUCUUGUCUACAUGAUUUUGUGCUUGCUUAUCACAAGUUCACGUUGAAUGCUCAAUAUAGUAGCUAGCUGAAGAAAAGGUAUGGUCCUGUAGCUUUGGUCUUACCAUUGUGGUGCUUGUGUUAUUGUGUGGGAAAAUGAAAGAAAGGAGUUUAUUUUUGCAAAUCAAUGAAUGAGAAAAGUGUGUGCUGUCUUCCCGCCCAAUUUAGAGCUCCACAAAAGUUCAGAGUUCAGAGUAGUUGUUUGGAGAUGAACAAUAAAUAAGUAUAAUAAAACAAAAGAAAAAUUUGUAAAAUAGUACGACAAAGUUCCAUAUGCCGAUUCAAAUUGUAGAAGCAUGUAAGGAAGAGUAGUUAUGCUCCAUUACAUAUAUGAUGUAUUUGUGAAGUGUGAUGGUUCUGACACACUAUUUUCUUCUGAUGCAAAUGUAGCAUGUAGGGAAAAUAAUAAUUCUGACACUAUUUUGUUCCUCUCUGAAAUGAGUCUUUCGCAUGUAUGGUUCUCCCCUUUGUACUACUUCCAUUGUACUAACAUAUUCUUUGUUGGAUUUCUGGGCAUUACUGCGGAAUGGUCUAAAACAAUUUGUAGCACAAUUUUCUGUUGCGGACAACACUACAUAAAUUAAGAUAACAUGAGAGAUUUUCCCAAACUAUUUUUAUGUUGGUUGUUACAAUAUUGUUUGAGUGAAGAACGGCAUGAAAGUAUAGCAUAAUGUAGGAGCUUUGAUUUACAAAAAAUAAGGCACCACUAGCCUGCCCACCUUGGUUGCUGGCAGCCAUCCAAGUUGAGCGCUGAUAGUAGUCCUGUGAGUCCAUCGACGCCACUCUCUCAUAGCAAUCCUGUAAGAGAGUACAAUUGGGGAAACCUAGAAAGUUCAAUGAACAAAAACCUUGAAGUUCAUACGGUGAAAAUCGGGAAAGUUCGAAAAAAUGAGAAUAUUGGAAAACAUCAAUUUUGAUGCUCUUGUUUACCUUAUGCUUGCAGCUGAGUGUACUUAUUCUGAUGCACUGGUUGACCUUAUGCUUCCAGCUGAGCUGGAAUUCCUACUAUUCAAAUGCUUGCAACAUUCAAUUAUGUUUUGUUCGAAAGCUACUUGCCGUAAAGUAGUAUAUGUGGUAGCUUUUCAGUGUAGCUUCCAAAAAAUGUGGUUCAAGUCCUCAAUUUGUUUAGAAAGAUAGGACAGGAAAUCUUGAAUAGAAAGCUCAUAUGAGUGUGAUGGUUUGAGUAAAAUGGUGACUAGUGAAGAUCAUUCAUGUUGAUUACUUUUGACAAGAACGAUAAGUAAACUAGAUAAUUUGUUGAAGAUUAGAUAGCAGUGAAAAACAAAAGGUUUAGAAGUGAUGCUAAAAACUGAGACGUGUGAAAUUUAACAUUCUCUAAUUUAUGAUCUAUUAUUUUCUUUGGUUUUCGUGUCUGAAUUUGUGGAUAUAUGCAUUACAUCGGGCCCCAAUAUUUAUUUCUUCAAUUCUCUAACAAACAAGAGCUUUUUUCAGUUCAUAAAAAAAGCACAUACAGUUUUCUCUAGCAAUUCGUGCUGCUUCUUUGGUUGUUCUUUUUACAAGAACUUGUACAUUGCCUUCUCAGGUGUGCGUGUACUAACCAGAAGUCUACCCCAGUUGAGCAAAAAAAUAUUUCGUUAGCAGUUCAUACCAAAAAAGGUUCAGACGUCUCAAGCCGCUAAGGCCUACAUCUCCCUGCCAAUGGUUGACAGCCGGUGCCAACAUGGCUGUGGUGAGUUCGUUGGCCUAGUCCCUAUGCUCCGAUGAGGUCAAGCCCAUUGUCAUAUUUGUCGCCGCAACUUCAGAUUGCUGCCGCCAAGGGAUGGUGGCAUGAAGCAGUUGAGUAGGUGUGCGUGGUGAGCAGCUACUGAACUUCUUCAGACACUACAAAAUAUAGUCCCACACAGCCUCUCAACACCACUUCUUGAACCUGCUUGAACCUUCAUGGCCCAGGCCGUUUACUGCCUCCACACAAGGCCGUUCGAUGAUGCAACGCUCAAGCUGAUCACCCUUGCCAGCACCCUAGACUCCCAUGAAAUAUCUAGUCAAAAAAAUGGUUGAUCGUAAGUGCAAGUACACUACACACGCUGAGCUGCAACGGGACACGGUGACAUCACUUCUUUUGGGUUGUUUUCUGUAUGAAUCUGCAUUUUUGUUAUUAAAUUCAGUACAACGAAACACAUGAAUCCCCAGCGGGUACCAAAUUAUUGAUUCCUUAAAACAAUUAAUAGAUUUCACCAUUGGUUGGUCUACUUGUGUAAAUCUGUCAGUUCAUGACAAGUAACUUCUGAUGCUAGAAAUGCAGGAUGUUUGUGUGAAUCUUGCUUGUUUCAGAGAGAAAAAGAGUUGGUACUUGCAUCACAUGGUGUACUGAACAAACAUACGCAUUCAGAUAAACAUGCUAACAACUCCUCUUGCUAUACUCAUGCUUGUACUUGUUUAUUUUUCUUGUUUGGGAAAUGGUUUCCUAUCCUCCUAACAGCUUUUCUCAAAUUUCAUUUAAUUUAGUUUCAAAUCAAACCAGAGCUAAUGCAUAAAUGUCAUUGGGUGAGGUUGCUAGGAAGAUUUGCAUUAGAGAAUGCUUUGUUGGAAAAGCUUCUAUUGGUAUUAUUAACAACAAAACUCUCGGUGGACAUAGACCGUAAAUCUUGAGACUAUUUUCACCAUUUUUUGCCCUUUGGUGUUUGGAAAUUCUAAAUUUUGUUGAUUUCAACUUGAUGAAUAUAAAGAUAUAUGCCAUGAGUUUUAGAUUAUAUCUCUGCUGUUGUAAUUGCUUGUUGGUGUUUAUUAGUAGAUAUACAUGUAUGAGUUCACUCCUGACUAUUGUAAUAAAGUUUUUUAGGAUUUGGAAGUAUCUAGUCUGGAUUGGCAGUGUAAAAACCAUAUAUAAAAUGUCUUGAUGCAUGCUAGCAGAAAUAUGAAAAUAAACUCAGCACAGUUCCUAUAUUUUAUUCAAGUUCAAAGCUAAACAUUUCUAACAGCUUAUCGCUCCUUGUAGGAUACACACUAUUCAUCGCAUUUGUCAUCGAGCGAUUGCACCACUAUCUUCAGAAGCUCAUCACCCUGAGGAAAUCAGCCAACACCUCCCAGAGAGGAGCUUGAAAUUUUCCAAAUGGAGUUCAAACGUGAAUUUGAGAAAAUGAUUCCUCGGCUAAGUUCGAAAAAUGUCAUUCUGUGAAGUUCGGCUAUUCAGCCAUGGACUAGUCAAUGGUGGAGUUGCAAUUUUGUUUCUUCUGUACAUACAUGAAUUGAAUGUAAUCAACGGAAAGAAACAUAUGUUGAUUCUCCAAGUUAGAGUUCAUUUUUAUUUUCUUACAAGUAGCAAAACUUCCUGUGUAGAUCAGUACAGCUUCUGUGCGAUCUUGUGUUACAAAUCUUGUAGUACUGUUUUUACAGGGAUCUUUCUAGUACUUUGUAAAGCAAGCGUGAUCCAUUUGUAAAAAUAUGGCAAAACACAUCCUUCACUCUUGCAGUCUUUUGCUAAAAAAAUGUUUUAAGUUCAA